rnacentral:sRNA from 1 species
AAGAAAAGCAGAAGCACCCGCUUCUCGCCUUGGUGACUAGAGUUGCCGGGCUGACGAGUUGAAUGAAACUAAAUCUUUAAUUUGGUUUAGUAUUUUUCAAGCGGGGUGCCUUGGUACCUCGCUUUUUUUG